rnacentral:rRNA from 1 species
GACGAACGCUGGCGGCGUGCUUAACACAUGCAAGUCGAACGGAAAGGCCCUGCUUGCAGGGUGCUCGAGUGGCGAACGGGUGAGUAACACGUGGGUGAUCUGCCCCUUACUUUGGGAUAAGCCUGGGAAACUGGGUCUAAUACUGGAUAGGACCAUGCUGUAGGUGGUGUGGUGGAAAGAUUAGUUUCGGUAAGGGAUGAGCUCGCGGCCUAUCAGCUUGUUGGUGGGGUAAUGGCCUACCAAGGCGUCGACGGGUAGCCGGCCUGAGAGGGUGGACGGCCACAUUGGGACUGAGAUACGGACCAGACUCCUACGGGAGGCUGCAGUGGGGAAGAUUGCACAAUGGGCGCAAGCCUGAUGCAGCGACGCCGCGUGGGGGAUGACGGGCUUCGGGUUGUAAACUCCUUUCAGCCAUGACGAAGCCCUUGUGGUGACGGUAGUGGUAGAAGAAGCACCGGCUAACUACGUG